GAUGAACGCUGGCGGCGUGCUUAACACAUGCAAGUCGAACGAUGAAGCCCAGCUUGCUGGGUGGAUUAGUGGCGAACGGGUGAGUAACACGUGAGCAACCUGCCCCUGACUCUGGGAUAAGCGCUGGAAACGGCGUCUAAUACUGGAUAUGUCCCGUCACCGCAUGGUGUGCGGGUGGAAAGAUUUUUCGGUUGGGGAUGGGCUCGCGGCCUAUCAGCUUGUUGGUGAGGUAAUGGCUCACCAAGGCGUCGACGGGUAGCCGGCCUGAGAGGGUGACCGGCCACACUGGGACUGAGACACGGCCCAGACUCCUACGGGAGGCAGCGGUGGGGAAUAUUGCACAAUGGGCGGAAGCCUGAUGCAGCAACGCCGCGUGAGGGAUGACGGCCUUCGGGUUGUAAACCUCUUUUAGCAGGGAAGAAGCGAAAGUGACGGUACCUGCAGAAAAAGCACCGGCUAACUACGUG
rnacentral:rRNA from 1 species